CACAUGUCCACAAGAAACUGAACACGAUCAGUAGGGAGCAGGUUCACUGAAAGCAGCCUGAGGACAUCACCAAAAGAUUGGGCUUAGCAACUUCAGAGGUAGGAUAUUCCUAUUUUAAUAAAUAGAAAGGUAUGUUUUUGAUGGACACCAAAUAAAUGUCAGAAGUUCUGAGCAAGAGUCCCACCUCUACCACUUACUAUUCAUAUGACCUUAGAAUUUGUCCUUGUCCUCUGGAGGGCAAAGAACUAUUUCCAUGGAGAGGAGGCCUGACCAUAUACUUACUACUUCCUACAGAACCAGUCUUCUAUCCACUGUACCAUGUGACUGCCUCCAGAAAAGAAAUGUCAUGGCUUCCUACUCAUGAAGAAUUUAAAUAUAAUGAAAAUACUUUUACCAUAGAGAAUUGGUUUUUAAAGCAGGGUUGCCCUUCUGUGAAAUACAAAUUAAAAAAAUAAAUAAAAAUUGGACAAAAUGAGCUGUGAAAUGACCCAGUAAAAUUAAGUGUUCACCUCUGUAUAAAUCUGAAGGUAUCAAUUAAAGUGGAGUUGGAAUUAGAAGACCUGAGUUCUACUACUUUUGAACUAUGUAACCUUGGACACUUCCCUUCUCUGAACCUUUAUUUCCUCAUUGGUAAUAUGGGCAGUUUCAAUUAAAUGAUCUCUAAUAUUCCUUCUAGUUCUAAAUCUAAGAUGAUCCUAUAAGACAGAACAACCCUAAAACAAGUGAAAGUGAACAUGCGGUAGAAGUUGUGCAGGGACAACUCUCUACUAUGACCUUGCAUUUCCGCUGAGGAUAAACUGCUUUAAGACAACUACAACAACAACAACAAAAAAAAAAAAACCCUUCUCUAAAAAAAAUUCUUACUCCUAAAGGUAUGUUGACUUUUUCUUAAGUCAAAUUAGGAAUCUGAGUGAAUCCCUUACCCCUUUGCCUGUAACACUUUGAUGUAACGGAGGAAAGAGAUGACUUCUCCUUAGACAAUAUAGGUAGUAUUUUCCCCUGUGAUCAGUAAUCAGAUACCCAAAGAAAAUAGUGAAACAAGGUCUUGAUUAUACUUUCAGAAUUUUUCAUUGUCCUCUGGAGGGCAGAGAACCAUUUCCAGGAAAAGGAGGCCUGAUCAUGGAUUAACUGUUGCAUUGCUGGAGGGUAAACCUGUGAAGAAAGCUGAGAAUCACUGUGGCAAAACCAUUGGAACCCUCUGGGACCCUCUUCCCUUAUUUGAAAAAUAAAAAGACAGAAUUAAGAGCAGAAAUAAUAAAUGCAACCUUCGCAGAUCAAAAUUCAAUGAAAAUAAUAAUUAGUAAGGGUACAUGGAGAGGUAAAUAAAAAAUUAAUUUGAAAUUAAACAAUAUGAUUCUCAAAAAUCGGUUAAAGAAGAAAUCAUAGAAACAAGUAAUAACUUGAUUGAAGAAAAUGACAAUGAUGAGACAUCCUUUCAAAAUCUAUGGGAUACAACCAAAGCAGUACUCAGGGGGAAAUUUAUAUCCUUGAGUUCAUAUAUUAACAAAUUAGAGAGGGCAGAGGUCAAUGAAUUGGGCAUGCAAAUUAAAAAACUAGAAAGUGAACAAAUUAAAAAUCCUCAGAUGAAGACUAAAUUAGAAAGCCUAAAAAUCAAAGGAGAAAUUAAUGAAAUUGAAAGUCAAAGAACUAUUGAUUUAAUAAAUAAGACUAGAAGCUGGUACUUUGAAAAAAAAAACAAAUAAAAUAGACAAAGUAGUGGUCAAUCUAAUAAAAAAAGAAAGAAAAAAACCAAAUUGACAGUAUCAUAGAUGAAAAGGGAGACUUCACCUCUAAUGAAGAGGGAAUUAAGGCAAUCAUUAAAAAUUAUUAUGCCCAAUUAUAUGGCAAUAAAUAUGGCAAUCUAGGUGAUAUGGAUGAAAUACAAAAAUAUAAUUUGCCUAGACUAACAGAGGAAGAAAUAGACUACCUAAACAACCCCAUAUCAGAAAAAGAAAUUGAACAAGUCAUCAAAGAACUCCCUAAGCAAAAAUCCCCAGGUCCGGAUGGAUUCACAAAUGAAUUCUAUCAAACAUUCAAAAAACAACUAAUCCUAAUAUUCUACAAACUAUUUGGCAGAAUAAGCAAAGAAGGAGUUCUACCAAAUUCCUUUUAUGACACAAAUAUGGUACUGAUUCCAAAACCAGGCAAGUCAAAAACAGAGAAAGAAAACUAUAGAUCAAUCUCCUUAAUGAAUAUAGAUGCAAAAUUCUUAAAUUAUAUAAAAAUAAAAAUUAUAUAAAAAUAGGAAACUAGCAAAAAGACUCCAGCAAGUGAUCAUGAGGAUUAUUCACUAUGACCAGGUAGGAUUACUACCAGUAAUGCAAGGAUGGUUCAAUAUUAGGAAAACCAUCCACAUAAUUAACCAUAUUAACAAGCAAACCGACAAAAAUAACAUGAUUAUCUCAAUAGAUGCAGAAAAAGCCUUUGACAAAAUACAACACUCGUUCUUAUUAAAAACACUAGAGAUUAUAGGAAUAGAAGGACCUUUCCUAAAAAUAAUAAACAGUAUGUAGCUAAAACUAUCAGCAAACAUCAUCUGCAAUGGGGGCAAACUAGAAGACUUCCCAAUAAGAUCAGGAGUGAAACAAGGAUGCCUAUUUUUACCUCUAUUAUUUAAUAUUAUACUAGAAACACUAGCUGUAGCAAUUAGAGAAGAAAAAGAAAUUGAAGGUAUUAAAAUAGGCAAUGAUGAGACCAAGCUAUCACUCUUUGCAGAUGAUAUGAUGGUCUACUUAAAGAAUUCUAGAGAAUCAACUAAAAAGCUAGUGGAAAUAAUCAACAACUUUAGCAAAGUUGCAGGAUACAAAAUAAACCCACAUAAGUCAUCAACAUUUCUAUAUAUCUUCAACACAUAUCAGGAGCAAGAAUUAGAAAGAGAAAUUCCAUUUAAAAUCACCCUAGACUAUAUAAAAUACUUAGCAAUUUAUCUGCUGAGACAAACAGAGUAACUAUAUGACCACAACUACAAAACACUCUCCACACAAUUAAAACUAGAUCUAAACAAUUGGAAAAACAUUGACUGCUCAUG